rnacentral:rRNA from 1 species
ACGGGUGAGUAACGCGUAGGCAAUCUGCCUUCUAGAUGGGGACAACAUCCCGAAAGGGGUGCUAAUACCGAAUGUUGUAGUAUUUCCGCAUGGAGACGCUACUAAAGGUGGCCUCUGAAUAUGCUACCGCUAGAAGAUGAGCCUGCGUCUGAUUAGCUAGUUGGAGGGGUAACGGCCCACCAAGGCUUCGAUCAGUAGCCGGUCUGAGAGGAUGAACGGCCACACUGGGACUGAGACACGGCCCAGACUCCUACGGGAGGCAGCAGUGGGGAAUCUUCCGCAAUGGACGAAAGUCUGACGGAGCAACGCCGUGUGAGUGAAGAAGGUUUUCGGAUCGUAAAGCUCUUUCGUCAGGGACGAACGUAUUCCUUGUAAAUAAUGAGAGAUAGUGACGGUACCUGAAUAAGAAGCCACGGCUAACUACGUGCCAGCAGCCGCGGUAAUACGUAGGUGGCAAGCGUUGUCCGGAAUUAUUGGGCGUAAAGCGCGCGCAGGCGGGAUAUCAAGUCUGUCUUAAAAGUGCGAGGCUCAACCUCGUGAGGGGACAGAAACUGGUAUUCUUGAGUGUCGGAGAGGAAAGUGGAAUUCCAAGUGUAGCGGUGAAAUGCGUAGAGAUUUGGAAGAACACCAGUGGCGAAAGCGACUUUCUGGACGAUGUCUGACGCUGAGGCGCGAAAGCUAGGGGAGCGAACGGGAUUAGAUACCCCGGUAGUCCUAGCCGUAAACGAUGGGUACUAGGUGUAGGGGGUAUCGACCCCUCCUGUGCCGGAGUUAACGCAAUAAGUACCCCGCCUGGGGAGUACGGCCGCAAGGUUGAAACUCAAAGGAAUUGACGGGGGCCCGCACAGCGGUGGAGUAUGUGGUUUAAUUCGACGCAACGCGAAGAAUCUUACCAGGCCUUGACAUGGAGUGAAAGGACCUAGAAGAAUAG